UACGAUUUAUGAUGUAUCAAAAAAAAAUCUACUUACUAGAUCUCACACACACAUUUUUUACUUUGGAAGUGUCUCUCGCGCAAACUAUUCAGUUUAGAAAAAAAUGAUAUUAGAAACCUCAAUAUCAUUUUUGAAGACCUAUCCAUAGAAA